CACACACACACACAGACAUAAGCACACUACCAUGAGUUUUACUGAGACUUCAUCGGGAACAUACGUGCACAUCAUUUUCAUCAUCAUCCAAAAAAAUUGUAAAAAU